rnacentral:rRNA from 1 species
CGACCGGCGAACGGGUGAGUAACGCGUAUGCAACCUACCUUUAACUGGGGAACAGCCCGAUGAAAUUCGGAUUAAUACCCCAUAAUGUCUUAGAAUCGCAUGGUUUUAAGAUUAAAGCUCCGGCGGUUAAAGAUGGGCAUGCGUGACAUUAGUUUGUUGGUGAGGUAACGGCUCACCAAGACUACGAUGUCUAGGGGUUCUGAGAGGAUGAUCCCCCACACUGGUACUGAGACACGGACCAG